rnacentral:rRNA from 1 species
AACGAACGCUGGCGGCAGGCUUAACACAUGCAAGUCGAGCGCAUCCUUCGGGGUGAGCGGCAGACGGGUGAGUAACGCGUGGGAAUCUACCUUUUGCUACGGAAUAGCUCCGGGAAACUGGAAUUAAUACCGUAUGUGCCCUUAGGGGGAAAGAUUUAUCGGCAAGAGAUGAGCCCGCGUUGGAUUAGCUAGUUGGUGGGGUAAAGGCCUACCAAGGCGACGAUCCAUAGCUGGUCUGAGAGGAUGAUCAGCCACAUUGGGACUGAGACACGGCCCAAACUCCUACGGGAGGCAGCAGUGGGGAAUAUUGGACAAUGGGCGCAAGCCUGAUCCAGCCAUGCCGCGUGAGUGAUGAAGGCCUUAGGGUUGUAAAGCCCUUUCACCGGAGAAGAUAAUGACGGUAUCCGGAGAAGAAGCCCCGGCUAACUUCGUG